UCUGUAGUACCCGCUCUGUCCGCUGGGUGGUGCUGGUGGCGCGCUCCGCUCUGCCGCUGGUUUCCAGUGUGUCGUUCGGUUGUUUAUGGCUUCCUGUGAGAAGCUCAGUAAACAUUAGCCUGGCUUGUGUUUUAUAAGGAGAACUACUUACAGCUUUACCCUAGUAAGAAAAUCAGAGCCGACACAGACAUGAUUUAUGUGAGCCAACGCUGUCUGGACAGGAUAUAUUCCGCUAUCCUGCUGGCCGUCGUUGUCCUGUCCUGGGGCUUUGUGAUCUAUGGCACCCGCGUUGCAGCGCAGUGGGAGCUGGAGAAGAGAGUAAAGACGUGAAGAGCAGCACUGCAGAAUCAAAACACACAACGUUCCUCACAGAGGAAUGAACUGGAACUUGAAACACCAUCCAAACUGUUGCUGAAAGUUUGUGCUAAUUCUGCUCAGUCAGUGCCUUCAUGUUACUUCUUGCAUCUCGUUCCUGCAGUGGAAGAGUGGAAGCUCCAGCUGUGACCUACAGUAAAUCCAGCAUCCUGUAUCAAACAAAAAUCCUGCCGUGGUUUUUGGAGACAUAUUUUUGCCAUGGAACGCCCUGCAUGUACCUCUCUACUUAGAUUGGAAAAGUGUUUGAGACCAAAUGCUUUCCAAGUCUGUGGCUGAACAGUGUCUUGGGCAUUAGGCUGUGCAUUCAUAAACACUUUGUUUAGUAGUAUUAAUAAUAUAUGGGAAGAAGCUGUUUCCACUACUGGUUCCAUUCAUUGCCAUUGUGAACAAUUGUGGCUUUGUCUAUAUUUUUAUCUAUGAGCUCUGUAUGAGAUAUUUUAUUUUGUAGGUGUUACAUUAUUUUAAUGAAAAUACCUGAAUUCUAUUUUAAUAAAAUGCAUAUUAUUUUUCCAACCAUUUGGAAAGCAACCAUA